rnacentral:rRNA from 1 species
CCUACGGGAGGCAGCAGUGGGGAAUCUUGCACAAUGGAGGAAACUCUGAUGCAGCGAUGCCGCGUGAGUGAAGAAGGCCUUUGGGUUGUAAAGCUCUUUUGUAGGGGAAGAUAAUGACUGUACCCUAAGAAUAAGGUCCGGCUAACUUCGUGCCAGCAGCCGCGGUAAUACGAAGGGACCUAGCGUAGUUCGGAAUUACUGGGCGUAAAGCGCGCGUAGGCCGUUGAGUUAGUUAAUUGUGAAAUCCCAAAGCUUAACUUUGGAACUGCAAUUAAAACUGCUCGACUAGAGUUUGAUAGAGGAAAGCGGAAUACAUAGUGUAGAGGUGAAAUUCGUAGAUAUUAUGUAGAACACCAGUUGCGAAGGCGGCUUUCUGGAUCAACACUGACGCUGAGGCGCGAAAGUAUGGGUAGCAAAGAGGAUUAGAUACCCUCGUAGUCCAUACCAUAAACGAUGAUUGCUAGAUGUUGGAAAUUUAUUUUCAGUAUCGCAGCUACGACAUAAGUACACUCCGUCCGUCGGGUAGGUACGACCGACGAACGUUAAACGUAACGAAAGGAAGUUAGACGGCGUGAGACGUGCGACGGACGACGACGAGGGAGUAGG